GAAAGAUAGUGGCGAACGGGUGAGUAACACGUGGGUAACCUGCCCAUAAGAGGGGGAUAACAUCCGGAAACGGGUGCUAAUACCGCAUAGUUUUCUUGAUCGCAUGAUCGGGAAAGGAAAGACGGCCUUUGUGCUGUCGCUUAUGGAUGGACCCGCGGCGUAUUAGUUAGUUGGUGAGGUAACGGCUCACCAAGACGAUGAUACGUAGCCGACCUGAGAGGGUGAUCGGCCACAUUGGGACUGAGACACGGCCCAAACUCCUACGGGAGGCAGCAGUAGGGAAUCUUCCGCAAUGGACGAAAGUCUGACGGAGCAACGCCGCGUGAGUGAAAGAAGGUUUUCGGAUCGUAAAACUCUGUUGUCAGAGAAGAACAAGUUGGAGAGUAACUGCUCCAGCCUUGACGGUAUCUGACCAGAAAGCCACGGCUAACUACGUGCCAGCCGCCGC
rnacentral:rRNA from 1 species